UCAAGAAGCUCUAACUCAUGAGGAUGACCAACACUGGGCAAGCUGAAAAUAUCUUACUCCAGAAACAACUCUUAGGUGCCAGAUAUUAGGACCUAUUUGAAAUGAAGAGACUAUUUUCUUCAACAGAAUAAGGUUUGGUUCACUCUGUUUCAAGUUUGGGAAAAUAAUAAGUGUGCAUUCUCUUAUUCCUAGUAUUUAGUGAAUACACCCAUUGCUUAAUUUUUAAAUUCUGAAUUGGAGCAUAAAUUCUUCUAGAAGAAAAGUACAGUGGGUUUCAGAAGCGCUUUUAACCGAUUUAGG
rnacentral:lncRNA from 1 species